rnacentral:rRNA from 1 species
AUUGAACGCUGGCGGCAGGCCUAACACAUGCAAGUCGAGCGGAUGAAGGGAGCUUGCUCCUGGAUUCAGCGGCGGACGGGUGAGUAAUGCCUAGGAAUCUGCCUGGUAGUGGGGGAUAACGUCCGGAAACGGGCGCUAAUACCGCAUACGUCCUGAUGGUGAACGUGGGGGAUCUUCGGACCUCACGCUAUCUGAUGAGCCUAGGUCGGAUUAGCUAGUUGGUGGGGUAAGGGCCUACCAAGGCGACGAUCCGUAACUGGUCUGAGAGGAUGAUCAGUCACACUGGAACUGAGACACGGUCCAGACUCCUACGGGAGGCAGCAGUAGGGAAUAUUGGACAAUGGGCGAAAGCCUGAUCGAGCCAUGCCGCGUGUGUGAAGAAGGUCUUCGGAUUGUAAAGCACUUUAAGUUGGGAGGAAGGGCAGUAAGUUAAUACCUUGCUGUUUUGACGUUACCAACAGAAUAAGCCACGGCUAACUUCGUG